GAUGCUAAGAAUAUGGCCAAGGAUGUACAUGAUGCCCUUGUGGAAAUAAUAAGCAAAGAGGUUGGAGUUGAAAAACUAGAAGCAAUGAAAACCCUGGCCACUUUAAAAGAAGAAAAACGCUAUCUUCAGGAUAUUUGGUCAUAAAACCAGAAAUUAGAGAAAUAAGCUUUUUUGACUGAAAGUGCUAAAAGUCAGCUUUACUAGUGCUGAGACUUUAAAUUUUCAAAAGAAAAUUUUCUUUCAACAUUUCUUGAAGGAGAUGGAGUGGGGAUUGGAUCAUUUAACAAUAUAACAAAACUUCCUGAUGUGAUUUUACAUAUCUUCCAUCUAUGCCCUUCCUGUGCCUGUGACUCUCCCCAGACUGCCCUGUUGAAUUGAGCUCUUCUGAGCUAAGGCAGCCUUCAGUCUCCAUCAGCGCCUCCUUUACUUGCCAGAGAACUUCACAGAGACUCUGUCCUUCCAUGCAAAGGCUUCCUGAAAUAGGGAGAGUGACUGAGUAGCCCAUUCUUGUGACUUACAGUGCCAACAUUUAAAAAACUUGGGAUUUAAAACAUCUCUGUUGAAGGCUUUUGAUCCUUUUGAGAAAUAAAGAUCUGAAAGAAAUGGCAUAAUCU
rnacentral:sRNA from 1 species